rnacentral:rRNA from 1 species
UACGUAGGGAGCAAGCGUUGUCCGGAUUUACUGGGUGUAAAGGGUGCGUAGGCGGCUUUGCAAGUCAGAAGUGAAAUCCAUGGGCUUAACCCAUGAACUGCUUUUGAAACUGCAGAGCUUGAGUGGAGUAGAGGUAGGCGGAAUUCCCGGUGUAGCGGUGAAAUGCGUAGAGAUCGGGAGGAACGCCAGUGGCGAAGGCGGCCUGCUGGGCUCUAACUGACGCUGAGGCACGAAAGCGUGGGUAGCAAACAGG